GCCAGCGUAGCUCAGUUGGUAGAGCUACUGAUUUGUAAUCAGUGGGUCGGGGGUUCAAGUCCCUCCGCUGGCUCCA
rnacentral:tRNA from 1 species